GCCCCGUGGUUCCUGGACGCUAUGGUGUCAGUAUAGCUUGCCAGGCUGUGCAUGCGGGCCCAAAGAAAGCAGGCGCAGUGAUGUAUGCGUGGGGUCUGUGUCCUGCUGGCAGUCCCCACAGCCCGGUCACUGGGACAUGC